AACGUAGGAGACAAACGUUAUCCGGAGUUACUGGGCGUAAAGGGCGUGUAGGUGGUUUCGUAAGUCUGGCGUGAAAUUUUUCGGCUUAACCGGGAAAGGUCGUCGGAUACUGCAGAACUAGAGGACGGUAGAGGCGUGUGGAAUUCCGGGUGUAGUGGUGAAAUGCGUAGAGAUCCGGAGGAACACCAGUGGCGAAGGCAAUCCCCUGGGCCUGCACUGACGCUCAUGCACGAAAGCGUGGGGAGCAAACAGG
rnacentral:rRNA from 1 species